CAGUCGCCGCGGUAACACCAGCACCUCGAGUGGUCAGGAGGUUUAUUGGGCCUAAAGCAUCCGUAGCCGGUUGCAUAAGUUUUCGGUUAAAUCUAUGCGCUUAACGUAUAGGCCGCCGAAAAUACUGUGCAGCUAGGGAGUGGGAGAGGUACACGGUACUCGAUAGGAAGGGGUAAAAUCCUUUGAUCUAUUGAUGACCACCUGUGGCGAAGGCGGUGUACCAGAACACGUUCGACGGUGAGGGAUGAAAGCUGGGGGAGCAAACCGGAUUAGAUACCCCAGUAGUCCCUGUCUCUUAUAC
rnacentral:rRNA from 1 species